rnacentral:rRNA from 1 species
AUUGAACGCUGGCGGCAGGCCUAACACAUGCAAGUCGAGCGAGCGGCGGACGGGUGAGUAAUGUCUGGGAAACUGCCUGUUGGAGGGGGAUAACUACUGGAAACGGUUGCUAAUACCGCAUACCAUCAGAUGUGCCCAGAUGGUAUUAGCUCGUAGGUGGGGUAACGGCUCACCUAGGCGACGAGCCCUAGCUGGUCUGAGAGGAUGACCAGCCACACUGGAACUGAGACACGGUCCAGACGCCUACGGGAGGCAGCAGUGGGGAAUAUGGCACAAGGGGCGAAAGCCUGAUGCAGCCAUGCCGCGUGUGUGAAGAAGGCCUUCGGGUUGUAAAGCACUUUCAGCGGGGAGGCGUUACCCGCAGAAGAAGCACCGGCUAACUCCGUGCCAGCAGCCGCGGUAAUAC